AUGGCUGUCGUCAGCUCGUGUUGUGAAAUGUUGGGUUAAGUCCCGUAACGAGCGCAACCCUUGUCCUUAUUUGCCAGCGCGUAAUGGCGGGAACUCUAAGGAGACUGCCGGUGACAAACCGGAGGAAGGUGGGGACGACGUCAAGUCAUCAUGGCCCUUACGAGUAGGGCUACACACGUGCUACAAUGGUCGGUACAAAGGGUUGCCAACUCGCGAGAGUGAGCCAAUCCCGAAAAGCCGAUCUCAGUCCGGAUCGGAGUCUGCAACUCGACUCCGUGAAGUCGGAAUCGCUAGUAAUCGUGGAUCAGAAUGCCACGGUGAAUACGUUCCCGGGCCUUGUACACACCGCCCGUGGGGCGGGGGCGGCGGGCCGGGCGCGGGGCGCGGCGGGCG
rnacentral:rRNA from 1 species